CUGAGUCGUCGACACGAGUUGUUGCUGGUCCUCAAACAGGGGACAUGUGCACGCUCUGUUUACACAUCCACUCACACCUGUGCACCCUCUGUAGUUCUAUGGUCUGGGGGGCUCUGCCUCCCUUCUGUGGUUCUGCAUCUUUACACACACACUGUAACAAAGUUUUAUGGAAUGCACAUCGCGUUUAACGCAAUAUAAUA
rnacentral:misc_RNA from 1 species